AGUCUGAGCUGUCCUUGUUAGACUGCUUAGCAAUGCUGGAAUCUUGGAGACAUCAGCAUGCUUAUGUCACAAGCCACAUCUGUCACUGCAGGAUUUGUGUUUGUCCUCACGUUAAUAAUAACUGAUGGAGGCACCAAGUCGCCUUCCCUUAAAAGCAAGGAGUCUGAAUAUCAGUUUGGGAAGAGGUGCUUCAAAGAUCAAACCAGGCCCAUGACAGUGACAUGUACAGAGAGGAAGAAACCGGACAGCUGAGGAAGGUGGGCAUUUACCUGUCUUUCUGUAUAGGAAGAACAUUAGCAACAGCCGGCUGGCAAAUGAUCAGUGAUUUCAAUCUACUGUGAGAAAAAGAAUGUUCUCUUGAAGCAGGAUGCAGAUUAUCUCCUAUCCAUGAAGCCUUUACAGAUUUCCGAUCAUCUCCAUGUCAUUUUCUGUUAUGAUUUUGUGCAAAUUCUUUCAGAUCAGCUGUGUCACUGGUCUAAAUUUAUUGCUUUUCCAUGUAUUUACUUCUGUGGGUUCUUAAGGGCAGGAAUUUGUCUUUUAUCUAAUUACAAUACCUAGCAAAUGUAGAUAUUUAUUAAAUAAACAAAUGACACAUGAAUAGAAGCAAAAUUUAAUUUGCUUCUUUAAUAUAAUUAUUUACUUGCAUAAACACUAAAAAUCAUAAUAACAAUCAUAGGAUAAUAUAUUAUCUUUAAGAAGAAGCUAAAGUGCCUCUGUUGACAGAAAAGGACAGUCCAUUGCCAAAUAGAAAACAGAAAGUAUUAGAAAUAUUUGGAAACUUUUACUUCAAUAGAAAGAGGCAGCGAAAAAGUAUGGUAUUGCAGUUAUGGAAAAAAUAAUUGAUAUUUUGAGCUUUGUAAAACUAUCUAUCUACAUGUAUUUUACGUGUGAUUUUAUUCUAAUCAACUUUUAUAAAUUAUAGUAGAUUUGGAAGUGAAAAAAAUUAUAAACUGAAAAUAUUAAAUCCUAUUACCUAGGAAUCUUAAGAUUAGUAUAAAUGAGGACCUCUAGAAAUUUAGUAUAAGAACAUUACCUCUAGAAAUACUUUG
rnacentral:lncRNA from 1 species